UACGUAGGUGGCAAGCGUUGUCCGGAAUUAUUGGGCGUAAAGCGCGCGCAGGCGGUUCUUUAAGUCUGAUGUGAAAGCCCACGGCUCAACCGUGGAGGGUCAUUGGAAACUGGGGAACUUGAGUACAGAGGAGGAAAGCGGAAUUCCACGUGUAGCGGUGAAAUGCGUAGAGAUGUGGAGGAACACCAGUGGCGAAGGCGGCUUUCUGGUCUGUAACUGACGCUGAGGCGCGAAAGCGUGGGGAGCAAACAGG
rnacentral:rRNA from 1 species